rnacentral:rRNA from 1 species
CCUACGGGUGGCAGCAGUGAGGAAUAUUGGUCAAUGGCCGGAAGGCUGCACCAGCCAAGCCGCGUGAAGGACGAAGGUGCCAAGCAUUGUAAACUUCUUUUGUCAAGGGACAAAAUAAGGCUCGAGAGCCUGACCGAGGGUACUUGAAGAAAAAGCAUCGGCUAACUCCGUGCCAGCAGCCGCGGUAAUACGGAGGAUGCGAGCGUUAUCCGGAUUUAUUGGGUUUAAAGGGUGCGUAGGUGGUUAAUUAAGUCAGCGGUGAAAGUUUGUGGCUCAACCAUAAAAUUGCCGUUGAAACUGGUUGACUUGAGUAUAUUUGAGGUAGGCGGAAUGCGUGGUGUAGCGGUGAAAUGCAUAGAUAUCACGCAGAACUCCGAUUGCGAAGGCAGCUUACUAAACUAUAACUGACACUGAAGCACGAAAGCGUGGGGAUCAAACAGGAUUAGAUACCCGUGUAGUC